GCACUGUCAUUUCAAAUAGGAAAGGUAAAUAAUACAAUGGUUUGAAUCAUGGAUCUCUGGCUGUUUGUUUGUGCGCUAACAGGAGCACUGCUUAGUGUUUCCUUUGCUCAAACUCAUCAGUUCUACUUUGUGAACACUGAGCUGAGCUGGACAGAUGCUC